CACAGGUGAAAUCAAUGACCGAAGAGACAGAGCUGAGCAAAGGAAGCAACACCAAAUACAGGAAAACAGAAAAACAAGAGUCUAACCAAAGAGCAGAAAAAAGAUUGCCAAGUACAAAGCAGCAGCAGCACUGGCUCACAGAGGCGAGGCAGCGGAGCUGCAAGUUGUUUCAGAGGUCAGAGACGAUGGUAAGGUGAAGUCCAGCUUGGCAUCAGAGCCGCUGUUGCAGGGAGCCGGGCCUGUGGCAAAUGGUGAAGCUGGCGAGCUGAAAGCAGGAGACAUUGUGGUGAAAUGGAAGGAUGGCAAUGUGUCAAACCUGUACACAGAUUCUGCAGAGGAAGAGGAGAAAUUGCAUGGAGGGGAGGAGAGCGAGGUGGAAUCCGCAGCUGAGCCUCAGGAGGGGGCCGUGAUGAUGGAAUGAAGAGUACACAGACUGUCCAAAUAAUCUCAUUCUGUGAGACUACAUUUACUUAUCUGCUGUCUGUUCACAGUUUUGCUUUUCUAAUUUAGAGUGGCUUGUCAAAGCACCUCAGAGCAAAAAGCUAAACUGUCAAAGUAAAAAUGACUUUGGAUAGAGUGUUGGAUUGUAUAGCUGUCUGGGCAAUAUAUGAAUCCACAUGGUGCUGGUGAAAUGUCCUCAUUAGUUGCUCCUCUGGCCUGCUAACCUACAAUACUGUAUUUAUAUCUUUCCAUUCAUUUUCAGAGUGAAAAGCUCCCUAAAUAACACUUUAGCACGUAAAACAACACCAGCAAAGAGAAUUAUGACAAUAUAAAAAAAACAAGUUCUGGUACCCAUUUUGGGCAAGAUACAUCCACAGGGUUAUGGUUAUGGUUGAAUGAGGGCUCAUGUCAAGCCUGUUUUAGCAAACAGGCAACAGGCCAACAAAUUUCAUUCCUAAUCACAGUGCUGGUGGGUGUAUCUUGCCCAGAAGUCUGGUGGAAAUUCAUAAUAAUGCCUAUAGGACCCUGCUGGUUGAAUGUGUGACCGCGGCGCCACUGUGUGGUGAUACACUGGCAAUGUAGUGUUGGUUUUCACAGCCAAUCACCGUAAUUGUUACUGUGUUAUUGCUGAAUGUUGACUGGACAUUGUAUAAGGGUUUUAAUUGGUGUGAUGGAAGUGUAGUGGUGUGUUGUUACUUUGCAAAAUGCCUGCACAUCAAACAACACUUUUACUGCUACUCUUGAAAUGGAAUCAUAUUAGCAGCAUGCUUAAAUGCAAUUUUUUUUUUAAAAAAAACUGUAGAUUUUAUGAAAAUCAGAUUUAGAGUAUUGUCCCACUCAAGUUGUGACAGUGUGAGAUAAAGUGGCACGAGUAGUUUCAGGUAAAGUGGGAUAAUGUGUUAAAAUUAAAAUUUCUCCUCUUCCUCUGCAGCACACAGACACUGUUUGAUGAAUAAAAAUAAAAAAGAUGAGUUUCCAUUAA